rnacentral:rRNA from 1 species
UAGUCCGGAUUGGAGUCUGCAACUCGACUCCAUGAAGUCGGAAUCGCUAGUAAUCGUGGAUCAGAAUGCCACGGUGAAUACGUUCCCGGGCCUUGUACACACCGCCCGUCACACCAUGGGAGUGGGUUGCAAAAGAAGUAGGUAGCUUAACCUUCGGGAGGGCGCUUACCACUUUGUGAUUCAUGACUGGGGUGAAGUCGUAACAAGGUAACCGUAGGGGAACCUGCGGUUGGA